rnacentral:misc_RNA from 1 species
CCGAGUUUACAACUCCCAAACCCCUGUGAACAUACCACUAUGUUGCCUCGGCGGCAGCCCCCUCCGGUACGGGACGCCCGCCAGAGGACCCUAAACUCUGCUUUCGUAUAAGUGUAGAGCUGUGCUGUAAAGCCAUAAAUAAAUCA